UUGACACAAAACUAGACACUACAGACAU
rnacentral:piRNA from 1 species